AUCUAUCAAUCCAACACAGGUUAAAUCUUGUGAUUGGUGUUUGGAUUAUGAAGGUUGCUGGAAUUAAUGUCAGCUCCUUUAAAAUGUAUUAGCAGAACUUUGUAUCAGCUUCGGUUUGAUAAUUAUCUUAUCCUUGCUGUUGCUGGUAAAAAGGUUCAGCUUCAAAUUGUCUCAUCUUAUGAGACUGUCCAAUCUUUGGGCAUUAUUUUG
rnacentral:misc_RNA from 1 species